UACGUAGGGUGCAAGCGUUAAUCGGAAUUACUGGGCGUAAAGCGUGCGCAGGCGGUUAUACAAGACAGAUGUGAAAUCCCCGGGCUCAACCUGGGAAUUGCAUUUGUGACUGUAUGGCUAGAGUGUGUCAGAGGGGGGUAGAAUUCCACGUGUAGCAGUGAAAUGCGUAGAUAUGUGGAGGAAUACCGAUGGCGAAGGCAGCCCCCUGGGAUAACACUGACGCUCAUGCACGAAAGCGUGGGGAGCAGACAGG
rnacentral:rRNA from 1 species